UACGUAGGCAGCGAGCGUUGUUCGGAGUUACUGGGCGUAAAGGGUGUGUAGGCGGUCCCUUAAGUUUGGUGUGAAAUCUCCCGGCUCAACUGGGAGGGUGCGCCGGAUACUGAGGGGCAAGAGUGCGGGAAGGGAAAGUGGAAUUCCUGGUGUAGCGGUGAAAUACGUAGAUAUCAGGAGGAACACCGGUGGUGCAAACGGCUUUCUGGACCGUAACUGACGCUGAGACACGAAAGCGUGGGGAGCAAACAGG
rnacentral:rRNA from 1 species